AAAGUCGUAACAAGGUUUCCGUAGGUGAACCUGCGGAAGGAUCAUUACUGAAUGACGUGUGUGCCUGGUUGUGGUAGACCAUUUCUCACCAUGGUAGGAUGGUCAGACGUUGGACCAGCCGGUGAUUUGGCUACCAUGUCAUGCAAACCAGUCUUUGAAUGUAUGGCAUUAAAGCGUAAAAUAUAAAUAUAACUUUCAACAACGGAUCUCUUGGCUCUC
rnacentral:misc_RNA from 1 species